AAAGAGUUACGCUUGCUUGCCAACAUGGCAAAGCACCAAACAGAAGACUUUCUACAGCUACGGAACAUUCUUCAGAAAAUGGAAGCUGCAAGAAGAGGCUCCGUAAGAGACUGAAGAAAUUGGGCUGUCCGGCAAAACUUUUCAUUCGUCACGUGACCAGAUGGAUGAAGAUCUCGUACAGUGGAUUGUACAAGAAAUCACCCCCUUGGACUGAUUUGUGAUUUAUUGCAAUUUUCUGAACUAUUUACACAAAAUGAUCUUGUGUAAUUUUUUAGGGGGGCCUUCUAUUGUUUAUUUUUCUGCUGAAAGUUUAAUUCAGGUCCCAGCGUCUGAAUGAGGUUUUCCUCUUGGAUUUUGCUUGUCCUUAUCUGCAUCAGUUUUUUAAUCUAAAAAAGUUCUCAGUCUGUGACGAUGCCAUGCACUACCCAC
ensembl:lncRNA